CAUGAAGCUGGAAUCGCUAGUAAUCGCGAAUCAGAAUGUCGCGGUGAAUACGUUCCCGGGUCUUGUACACGCCGCCCGUCACACCAUGGGAGUCGGAAAUGCCCGAAGUCAGUGACCCAACCGUAAGGAGGGAGCUGCCGAAGGUGGAGCCGGUAACUGGGGUGAAGUCGUAACAAGGUAGC
rnacentral:rRNA from 1 species